UACGGAGGGUGCAAGCGUUAUCCGGAUUUAUUGGGUUUAAAGGGUCCGUAGGCGGAUCAUUAAGUCAGUGGUGAAAGCCGACAGCUCAACUGUCGAACUGCCAUUGAUACUGGUGAUCUUGAGUACGGUUGAAGUAGGCGGAAUAUGACAUGUAGCGGUGAAAUGCUUAGAUAUGUCAUAGAACACCGAUUGCGAAGGCAGCCUACUAAGCCGUUACUGACGCUGAGGGACGAAAGUGUGGGGAGCGAAC
rnacentral:rRNA from 1 species